UACGUAGGGCGCGAGCGUUGUCCGGAAUUAUUGGGCGUAAAGAGCUCGUAGGCGGUUUGUCGCGUCUGCUGUGAAAACUGGGGGCUCAACCCCCAGCCUGCAGUGGGUACGGGCAGACUAGAGUGCGGUAGGGGAGAUUGGAAUUCCUGGUGUAGCGGUGGAAUGCGCAGAUAUCAGGAGGAACACCGAUGGCGAAGGCAGAUCUCUGGGCCGUAACUGACGCUGAGGAGCGAAAGCAUGGGGAGCGAACAGG
rnacentral:rRNA from 1 species